rnacentral:rRNA from 1 species
UACACGACCGUACCGCAAACCGACACUGGUGCGCGAGAUGAGUAUUCUAAGGCGCUUGAGAGAACUCAGGAGAAGGAACUCGGCAAAUUGACACCGUAACUUCGGAAGAAGGUGUGCCUUUAGUAGGUGAACCAUUUACUUGGGGAGCCCAAUGAGGCUGCAAAAAAUCGGUGGCUGCAACUGUUUAUUAAAAACACAGCACUCUGCUAAGACGAAAGUCGACGUAUAGGGUGUGACGCCUGCCCGGUGCUGGAAGAUUAAAUGAUGGGGUGCAAGCUCUUGAUUGAAGUCCCAGUAAACGGCGGCCGUAACCAUAACGGUCCUAAGGUAGCGAAAUUCCUUGUCGGGUAAGUUCCGACCUGCACGAAUGGCGUAAUGAUGGCCACACUGUCUCCUCCUGAGACUCAGCGAAGUUGAAAUGUUUGUGAUGAUGCAAUCUCCCCGCGGAAAGACGGAAAGACCCCAUGAACCUUUACUGUAGCUUUGUAUUGGACUUUGAACAGAUCUGUGUAGGAUAGGUGGGAGGCUUUGAAGUGUGGUCGCUAGAUCGCAUGGAGCCAACGUUGAAAUACCACCCUGGUGUGUUUGAGGUUCUAACCUAGGUCCAUUAUCUGGAUCGGGGACAGUGCAUGGUAGGCAGUUUGACUGGGGCGGUCUCCUCCCAAAGUGUAACGGAGGAGUUCGAAGGUACGCUAGGUACGGUCGGACAUCGUGCUAAUAGUGCAAUGGCAUAAGCGUGCUUAACUGCGAGACUGACAAGUCGAGCAGAUGCGAAAGCAGGACAUAGUGAUCCGGUGGUUCUGUAUGGAAGGGCCAUCGCUCAACGGAUAAAAGGUACUCUGGGGAUAACAGGCUGAUACCGCCCAAGAGUUCAUAUCGACGGCGGUGUUUGGCACCUCGAUGUCGGCUCAUCUCAUCCUGGGGCUGUAGCCGGUCCCAAGGGUAUGGCUGUUCGCCAUUUAAAGAGGUACGUGAGCUGGGUUUAAAACGUCGUGAGACAGUUUGGUCCCUAUCUUCCGUGGGCGCUGCAGAUUUGAGGAAGCCUGCUCCUAGUACGAGAGGACCGGAGUGGACGAACCUCUGGUGUAUCGGUUGUCACGCCAGUGGCAUUGCCGAGUAGCUAAGUUCGGAAGAGAUAACCGCUGAAAGCAUCUAAGCGGGAAACUCGUUUCAAGAUUAGAUCUGCCGGGGCCUUGAGCCCCCUAAAGAGUCGUUCAAGACCAGGACGUUGAUAGGUCAGGUGUGGAAGCCAAAAA